UAGGGAAUCUUCCGCAAUGGGCGAAAGCCUGACGGAGCAACGCCGCGUGAGUGAUGAAGGUCUUCGGAUCGUAAAACUCUGUUAUUAGGGAAGAACAAAUGUGUAAGUAACUAUGCACGUCUUGACGGCACCUAAUCAGAAAGCCACGGCUAACUACGUGCCAGCAGCCGCGGUAAUACGUAGGUGGCAAGCGUUGUCCGGAUUUAUUGGGCGUAAAGCGAGCGCAGGCGGUUAGAUAAGUCUGAAGUUAAAGGCAGUGGCUCAACCAUUGUAGGCUUUGGAAACUGUUUAACUUGAGUGCAGAAGGGGAGAGGGGAAUUCCAUAUGUAGCGGUGAAAUGCGUAGAUAUAUGGAGGAACACCGGUGGCGAAAGCGACGCUCUGGUCUGUAACUGACGCUGAGGCUCGAAAGCGUGGGGAGCGAACAGG
rnacentral:rRNA from 1 species